ACAGGAUUAGAUACCCUGGUAGUCCACGCCCUAAACGAUGCGAAUUGGAUGUUGGGUGCAACUUGGCACUCAGUAUCGAAGCUAACGCGUUAAGUUCGCCGCCUGGGAAGUACGGUCGCAAGACUGAAACUCAAAGGAAUUGACGGGGUGCCCGCUACAAUGCGGUGGAGUAUGUGGUUUAAUUCGAUGCAACGCGAAGAACCUUACCUGGCCUUGACAUGUCGAGAAUCCCUGAGAGAUCGGGGAGUGCCUUCGGGAACUCGAACACAGUGUGCUGCAUGGCUGUCGUCAGCUCGGUGUCGUGAGAUGUUUGGGUUAAGUCCCUGGCGAACAGAGCCGACAAACCCUUGGGUUCUUUACGGUUUGCCCCAAGUCAACCGGUAAAUGGGUGGGAAACUCUAAUGGAGACCGUCCGGUGACAAAACCGGAGGAAGGUGGGGAUGACGUCAAGUCAUCAUGGCCCUUACGGCCAGGGCUACAACACGUACUACAAUGGGAAGGACAGAGGGCUGCAAACCCGCGAGGGCGAGCCAAAUCCCAGAAACUUCUCUCAGUACGGAUUGGAGUCUUGCAAUCAGACUCCAUGAAGUCGGAASRGUNCUUURDBACURUMUNCUUURDSBACURUMCNSSRRNAGNRAUASUNCAGAGUUCGAUCCUGGCUCAGAGUGAACGCUGGCGGCAGUGCCUAACACAUGCAAGUCGAGCGGCAGCGCGGUGUAGCAAUACACUGGCGGCGGGCGGCGGACGGGUGAGGAAUGCGUCGGAAUCUGCCUCUUUGUGGGGGAUAACGUAGGGAAACUUACGCUAAUACCGCAUACGACCUACGGGUGAAAGUGGGGGACCUUCGGGCCUCACGCAGAGAGAUGAGCCGACGCCGGAUUAGCUAGUUGGCGGGGUAAAGGCCCACCAAGGCGACGAUCCGUAGCUGGUCUGAGAGGAUGAUCAGCCACACUGGAACUGAGACACGGUCCAGACUCCUACGGGAGGCAGCAGUGGGGAAUAUUGGACAAUGGGCGCAAGCCUGAUCCAGCCAUGCCGCGUGUGUGAAGAAGGCCUUCGGGUUGUAAAGCACUUAUCGUCCGGACANAGAAAUCCUUCGAAUUAAUACUUCGGAGGGAUGACGGUACCGGAACGAAUAGAGCACCGGCUAACUUCGUGCCAGCAGCC
rnacentral:rRNA from 1 species